UACAGAGGUGGCAAGCGUUGUUCGGAAUUACUGGGCGUAAAGCGCGUGUAGGCGGCUCUUCAAGUCAGGCGUGAAAGCCCCGGGCUCAACUCGGGAACUGCGCUUGAUACUGUCGAGCUAGAGUGUGGAAGGGGCGAUUGGAAUUCCGUGUGUAGCGGUGAAAUGCGUAGAUAUACGGAGGAACACCAGAGGCGAAGGCGGAUCGCUGGGCCAACACUGACGCUGAGGAGCGAAAGCCAGGGGAGCAAACGGG
rnacentral:rRNA from 1 species